ACAUCAGGCCAUUCCUCAAAUUAUUAAAAUCUAUUUUACUAUAGUAUCUUAAUUAAUUGACUUGUUUACAUGUUUACAAAGCUCUGUCUGUAGAUAUAAACCAGCUGUUAAUGUCAGGAACUCAGAAAUAGUGGAGUUGGCAUCCUGCAUUUCUCUUGUCAGCUGAAAUGAUGAUUGAACAUAACUGGCCACUUCAAAUUAAGUUAUCCACUUGCACGACGUAUCACUCCUGACCGUUCCAUUUCCCCCGCUAUUGAGUGGUAGAUGGUGGAUUAGUACCUCGAGCCAACGAGAGAGGCUGCACAGGGACACAAACAGGAUCUCACAUCGUUUUUAAUGAUAUUGCAUUUCUGAGGAAGGACGGAAAAAUCAGUAUUAACAUCUGUGGAGCCCGGGCAUGGACAAAGGUUCGUUGAGCUUUGGACCCAGAGCAGCAGAUGCGUCUCUGCAGAUCUCCUCACCCGGGGAAGGUUUCCCAGCCCCUGCCCUGGGGAGCAGAGGGAUGAGGGAUCCAGGAGAGGAGCAAGCGGCGGCUUACGGAGCAUCCUGAAAGGCAUG